rnacentral:rRNA from 1 species
AGUGAACGCUGGCGGUAGGCCUUACACAUGCAAGUCGAACGGCAGCACAGUAAGAGCUUGCUCUUACGGGUGGCGAGUGGCGGACGGGUGAGGAAUACAUCGGAAUCUACUUUUUCGUGGGGGAUAACGUAGGGAAACUUACGCUAAUACCGCAUACGACCUACGGGUGAAAGCAGGGGACCUUCGGGCCUUGCGCGAUUGAAUGAGCCGAUGUCGGAUUAGCUAGUUGUCGGGAUAAAGGCCCACCAAGGCGACGAUCCGUAGCUGGUCUGAGAGGAUGAUCAGCCAAACUGGAACUGAGACACGGUCCAGACUCCUACGGGAGGCAGCAGUGGGGAAUAUUGGACAAUGGGCGCAAGCCUGAUCCAGCCAUACCGCGUGGGUGAAGAAGGCCUUCGGGUUGUAAAGCCCUUUUGUUGGGAAAGAAAUCCAGCCGGCUAAUACCUGGUUGGGAUGACGGUACCCAAAGAAUAAGCACCGGCUAACUUCGUGCCAGCCGCCGCGGUAAGAC